GACGAGGGGUCCUAGCGUUGUUCGGAAUCAUUGGGCGUAAAGCGAGUGUAGGCGGCCAUUUAAGUCAGGUGUGAAAGCCCCGGGCUCAACCCGGGAAGUGCAUCUGAUACUGGAUGGCUUGAGUACUAGAGAGGGUAGUGGAAUUCCUGGUGUAGUGGUGAAAUACGUAGAUAUCAGGAGGAACACCGGUGGCGAAGGCGGCUACCUGGCUAUGUACUGACGCUAAGACUCGAAAGCGUGGGGAGCAAACAGG
rnacentral:misc_RNA from 1 species